rnacentral:lncRNA from 1 species
CAAAAUUUGUAUAGGUUUUUUAAUUAGUACAAAAAAAUUUUUCGCCUUUGGCGAAUCUUGCCCCCUGUCGGGGAAUCGUGAAUACGCCACUGAAUACAGCCACCCCUCUUUUUCUAUUCAAAACAAUUAAACACAUUUCCAAAUUUGAACAAAAAAACACAAUGUAUAAGUGUUGUUAAAUUUCCAAAUAUAUAACAUUAUAUAUUCAACGUAAGGAUAUAUGAUAUUAUAACGUGAGUUAAGACAUCCGGUCAAUGGCGAAGCUUUGAAACAUGUAGUAGAUCAAGUCGAUUUUUCAUCGCGGAAGUUCCGAAUUUCGAUUGAGAUUAUCAACUGAUGGAUUCUAUCCUUUUGGAAAUUCAAGUACGUCUUAUUUUCAUGCUGGCCAAUGAUUGUGACUCUACAAAACUUUUCACAAUGAUGAUGAUAUUAUACCUGCGUUUAUGUUCUUGACAUUAUUGAUUACUGAUUCAAAAAGUCCAAAUCUGGACCCGACAUGUUCUUUUUUGCAAAUUUAUAAAAAAAUAUUAAACUCGACGGCCAAAUUGGGUUUGGUUCUAUAUUUUUUAAUAUUCUCGGAUUUUGACCUAAUCCCAACCUGAUUUUAAAAUUCUAGUUAAAUCAAGACAAACCCUCCCAUAUAUGUUCAUUCCUAUCUUUCAAUAGUAUUAUUAGAGCUGCCGCCCAUUUUUUUCUUCCAUUCAAGCCGUAUUUUUAGAAGAAAAAUAAAAUAAUAUCGAAAAAUGUAUUAUCAUCAUCAUCAUCAAAGACUACUGGGACCGAGACCCAGUCAACCUUGACAACCUCCGUAAGGUGAGCCGAAACCCAGUCAACAACCAACCGUAUCGGUAAGGAAUAAGACUUGAAAGAAAAUCAGGCCAAAGAGAGCUAUGUCGUCGUCCUUCUUGCGAUUAAGUACGUAAAUGACAAAAAAUUUAGUAAAUCGAAAGACAAAAAUUCAGUAAAUCGCAGAUAACAAAAGAAGAAUCGCAAAUUGCAAAAGAAAGAGAGAAAGAAAAUCGUAAAUCGUUGUAUUAUAUAAUCGCAAACCAGAUUCACAGUCGCCAAGAACAAUCGACGGAAAUUCCAGUUGCAAACAAGAACCGAUCGCAAAUCGCAACGCCAAGACGAGAUGCCCAAAUCGCGACAAUGAAGAAAAUCCAAACCACAAAGUCGCCGAAAUCGGAAAAGAAUGGAUUAAGGAAACACACUGUCAGAUCGAUCGUGGAAGCACACUGCCGAUCACUGGGUGGUCAAGAAGAAGAGCCAAGAAAACAAAAUCGGUUGUCAAAAUAAAAACAAAUUAAAUUACGUUUUUACCCAACUGAUACCAUCUUAGAAAUUGUUGGUGCCGAGCAGGCCCGUCGAGCGGACCUCGGGCCGAACAGACCAUGGGUCCGCCGUCUGGGCCAAAGAAGGCCCAUGGGCGAAUUUUAUAAAUGUCUCCCGUGUUCUAACAAGGGAAGGGGUUGGAAAAUAGAGAGAAUAUACUAUCUUGUGAGAGAGAGGGUUGUGUGUGUGAGCAACCGAUUUGUAAGCCCACACACCAUCAGAAACUAAUCACACUUCAUUAACUAUAACGCGAUCUCCACCCCAAGUCCACGACCAAAGAAUCACCAGAUGAAUCGCCGGUCGGAGAGGGAUUUGGGGAAGAAAUCAAAACAAAAAACGAACGAUUUAAAAAAG